UGGGGAAUUUUGGACAAUGGGCGCAAGCCUGAUCCAGCCAUGCCGCGUGAGUGAAGAAGGCCUUCGGGUUGUAAAGCUCUUUCGGCGGGGACGAAACGGUCCGUGACAACACCACGGACUAAUGACAGUACUCGCAGAAGAAGCACCGGCUAACUACGUGCCAGCAGCCGCGGUAAUACGUAGGGUGCAGGCGUUAAUCGGAAUUACUGGGCGUAAAGCGUGCGCAGGCGGCUCCUUAAGUCAGAUGUGAAAUCCCCGGGCUUAACCUGGGAACUGCGUUUGAAACUGAGGGGCUAGAGUGUGGAAGAGGGGGGUGGAAUUCCAGGUGUAGCAGUGAAAUGCGUAGAGAUCUGGAGGAACACCGAUGGCGAAGGCAGCCCCCUGGGCUAACACUGACGCUCAUGCACGAAGGCGUGGGGAGCAAACAGGAUUAGAUACCCACGUAGUCCCUGAGCGGGCUGGCAAGGCGCAU
rnacentral:rRNA from 1 species